AUGAUUUUGACAAUUUUGCUUUCCUGCAUGUGAACAGUCCCAGGUGAUAUUUUAAACUGCCAGCUGCUGUUAGCACCCUCUAUUCAAGGAUGAUGUAACUAAAGUGUGCUUUAUUUAAUGCAGAUCACUGAUGUCAACUUUUAAAAAAAAAAAAAAAAAAGCUUUUAAGAGCUCAGGCCUUGUAGAUUUAUCUGUUUGCCUUUUAUGGUCAAACUAUUCGCCCCUGAGCACACAUGCUUUGAGCACACGAGUUUUCUCUGCUACACCGAAUGCAUCAAAACUAACCACGAUCCUGCGAUAAUUUAUUUACACUGCAACAAAUGCUUGACGCCAUUUGUCCCUUUUCAUUCCAGUCAUGCCCCCUCUCUGUCUGAGAGCCCAACACGGGCAGCAGCAAUGCAUUCUGGUCUCUUUGGAUUCGUAGAUUACAAUUAAGGCCGUGUAUUAUUCUGGCUUUUUGUUGGCUACGGGGGGUAAACACGGUUUGGAAAAAGGGGUGCAACGGCUUAAAUCACAUUAAGGGAUAAAAAGGAAGUAAAGCAAUAACGUGGAGGUCAGAGUAGAUGCUACAGUGAGGGGGACUCUCAAGUUUCUGCCAGGGAAUGUGUCUUUAAAAGCUCUAUUUUAUACAGAAACUCUAGCAGGAUUGUGAUUAAUUUAGAGUAAAAUGACUCAUGUUUGAUGUGCCUUCCCCUUUCUAGUCAGCUGGCGAUCUGAUUUUGUCGCGGUGUCAGUGAGGGGUGUGAGGAUUUGGUAUCUCAUGCAGUGCAGCAUGCAGAUUCCUUCAGCCUGCUGGGCAUCUGCCAGACUCGCACAGUUCAAACCUCGGUGCUAUUUGUUACACGCUCACUUCACAGACGGACUCUAACAUGGAAAGAAUGUCAUACCUCUGUCGUCGUGCCUCUUCCUUUUAUUGCGCGGACCGGUUGUGCUUUCAGACUUUUUUGGGGGUUUUACUUCAGAUUUGUCCUCCAAAGUUCUGCAGGCGAUGGAGUGUUAAAGUGAAUAAUAAAAUCAUAAAGUAACUGUAAUAUUUCACUCUAAUUCCUGUGCAAGUUUGUCUAGCUGCCAUUUCCACAAUGGAAAUGUUUGGCCUCGUGAGUCCAAAAUUGUUAACAUUUGCAGCAGCUUGUAAAACUGGUCGUUAAACUUCUCCCUCCUGUCCUCUGAAAUGGGCUUUGAAUCGCAGUGAUGCAACUUUCAAAUAAACAUCAAAUGUGGAAAAAAAUGUUCGUGUAGGUGCAACAUGAAAAGUCCAAUAUAUUUGUGUCAGAUCGUUGUGUUUCCAUUUGUCUGGUCAUAAUCAGACGUCCUCUUUAGCACACAUACUGAACUAUAUUAC